rnacentral:rRNA from 1 species
GACGAACGCUGGCGGCGUGCCUAAUACAUGCAAGUUGAGCGAUGAAGAUUGGUGCUUGCACCAAUUUGAAGAGCAGCGAACGGGUGAGUAACGCGUGGGGAAUCUGCCUUUGAGCGGGGGACAACAUUUGGAAACGAAUGCUAAUACCGCAUAAUAACUUUAAACAUAAGUUUUAAGUUUGAAAGAUGCAAUUGCAUCACUCAAAGAUGAUCCCGCGUUGUAUUAGCUAGUUGGUGAGGUAAAGGCUCACCAAGGCGAUGAUACAUAGCCGACCUGAGAGGGUGAUCGGCCACAUUGGGACUGAGACACGGCCCAAACUCCUACGGGAGGCAGCAGUAGGGAAUCUUCGGCAAUGGACGAAAGUCUGACCGAGCAACGCCGCGUGAGUGAAGAGGGUUUUCGGAUCGUAAAACUCUGUUGGUAGAGAAGAACGUUGGUGAGAGUGGAAAGCUCAUCAAGUGACGGUAACUACCCAGAAAGGGACGGCUAACUACGUG